rnacentral:tRNA from 1 species
GCUUCCAUGGCGUAGUGGUAGCGCGCCACACUUACGUUGUGGAGGCCGCGGGUUCGAUCCCCGCUGGAAGCA